CACGUAGGGGACGAGCGUUGUCCGGAUUUAUUGGGCGUAAAGCGCGCGUAGGCGGCCCGGUAAGUCGGUUGUGAAAACCCGGGGCUCAACCCCGGGCCUGCAUCCGAAACUUCCGGGCUGGAGGUAGGUAGGGGAGAUCGGAAUUCCUGGUGUAGCGGUGAAAUGCGCAGAUAUCAGGAGGAACACCGGUGGCGAAGGCGGAUCUCUGGGCCGUACCUGACGCUGAGGCGCGAAAGCUAGGGGAGCGAACAGG
rnacentral:rRNA from 1 species